rnacentral:rRNA from 1 species
CCCUUAGAUGUUCUGGGCUGCACACGUGCUACACUGGCAGGUUCAGCGAGCUUCAUGCCCUGAUCUGAAAGGAAUGGGAAAUCUUUUCAAAACCUGCCGUGCUUGGGAUAGAUGUUUGCAAUUAUUCAUCUUCAACGCGGAUUGCCUUGUAAGCGCACGUCAUCAGCGUGCAUUGAAUACGACCCUGUAUUCUGUACACACCGCCCGUCGCUCCUACCGAUUGAAGUUUUCGGUGAGUUGACAGGAGGAUUUUUUUGAAACUGGUUCGCCAGUGGAUUUUAGAUCCAAAUGCCAACGAAUCGAUGGCUUUAGAGGAAGGAGAAGUCGUAACA